rnacentral:rRNA from 1 species
AACGAACGCUGGCGGCAGGCCUAAUACAUGCAAGUCGAGCGGACCCUUCGGGGUUAGCGGCGGACGGGUGAGUAACGCGUGGGAACGUGCCCUUUGCUUCGGAAUAGCCCUGGGAAACUGGGAGUAAUACCGGAUACGCCCUUUUGGGGAAAGAUUUAUCGGCGAAGGAUCGGCCCGCGUUGGAUUAGGUAGUUGGUGGGGUAAUGGCCUACCAAGCCGACGAUCCAUAGCUGGUUUGAGAGGAUGAUCAGCCACACUGGGACUGAGACACGGCCCAGACUCCUACGGGAGGCAGCAGUGGGGAAUCUUAGACAAUGGGGGAAACCCUGAUCUAGCCAUGCCGCGUGAGCGAUGAAGGCCUUAGGGUUGUAAAGCUCUUUCACCGGGGAAGAUAAUGACGGUACCCGGAGAAGAAGCCCCGGCUAACUCCGUG